rnacentral:rRNA from 1 species
UUUGUCUUGUAAUUGGAAUGAUGGCGACCCAAACCCUCGCCAGAGUACCAAUUGGAGGGCAAGUCUGGUGCCAGCAGCCGCGGUAAUUCCAGCUCCAAUAGCGUAUAUUAAACUUGUUGCAGUUAAAAAGCUCGUAGUUGAACUUCGGCCUUGCGCGUCCUGCGGGUCUGCGCGCGGCCUUUGCGUUACUUUGAGAAAAUUAGAGUGUUUCAAGCAGGCUUUCGCCGUGAAUACUUGAGCAUGGAAUAACUGGGCAGGACCUUGGUUCUUCUUUGUUGGUUUUGUACCUGGGUAAUGGUUAAUAGGAACGGUUGGGGGCAUUCGUAUUUAACUGUCAGAGGUGAAAUUCUUAGAUUUGUUAAAGACGGACCACUGCGAAAGCAUUUGCCAAGGACGUUUCCAUUAAUCAAGAACGAAAGUUAGGGGAUCGAAGACGAUCAGAUACCGUCGUAGUCUACCCAUAUAAACUAAAAA